rnacentral:rRNA from 1 species
GGGUUGUGAGGUUAAGCGAAUAAGCGUACACGGUGGAUGCCUAGGCAAUCAGAGGCGAUGAAGGACGUGCUAAUCUGCGAAAAGCGUCGGUAAGGUGAUAUGAACCGUUAUACCCGACGAUAUCCGAAUGGGGAAACCCAGUAUCCAAUGGAUACUAUCAUUA